AUGUGUUAGAUAUAUGUUAUAUUACAUCACUUUUCUGCCACUGCGUCACAAAUAAUAAGGAUUUAGGUCUGUAUUCACAAUAUCCGUUAGUGGCUUCAUUACUGAACGCGCUUCAAGUGGCUUCUGAAAGCGCUCUGCAGUAAGGAUGAAGUACACAGUGAGAGGAGACAGCUGAAUCACACGGCUACAAUCAGGGUUUGGAAUACAGUAGGAAAGCACAGGGGCGGCAGACGCAGGACCAGUGCGAUAAAAGCCCUUCUGGAGAAGAAGGUUUUGAGUCGGGAUCUGAAGGCUCUCGGGCUCUCCGACAGCCCGACACGCUGGUUCCCGGCUCUAAAGCGCAGCUGUCUUGCAGACGGGCGCUGAAGCGAGCGCACAGCGGGGGCACGCCGCCAAGCAUGGCAGGAGCCCCAGUGGGUGUGGGACCCGCAGCCGCCGCUCGCUGUCGCGGGCGCAUCCGACCGGCCCGCUCCGUCGUGUGGUGCCCAGGCUCGGUUCCCCUUCUCUCUCAGCUCCGCACGUUCUGAGGGGCGAGGCCCACGUCCGCCCUUCCCGGCUCUCUCGCCGGGGGUCCGCUGACAGCUGUUGGCGCCCGCAGCAGGUGUCCUUGCGGGUGAUUAAUGGCCGCCUCAGCCCCCCCAAGGAAGGAACUCCGUGAAAAAAUCCCACUCAUGCGGUAGUGGAUUUCUGCUAUCCCAUGUGACCAUCUGACACUCGCAGAUCCCUCUCCGUGCGUGCAGCCUGCAGACAGACCCCUCGGCUCCCGCCGGCCGCCGCUCUUUCUCGGUUCCAAAGUCCUGCACCUGCUGUCCCGACAGCCUGAUGGGAGCCGCUUGGAAACCGGAGCGCUGCUGGACAAGGAGGCAGUGGAAAUAACCGAGAGCCGAACUCUCUCGGCUCACGAGCUGGAUUCUCCCAUCAUCCCACUCCUGGCGCACUCCUGUUGCCCGUCAAAACACCUGAAAGAACAGGACAGGAGCUGAGUUUGUCUGGCUCAGCUGCUGUGCUUCUCUGCCCAGGAGGGGCAGUGUUCCCUGAGCGCAGAGAUGGAGUGACAGGCCAGGCUGCUGCUGAGGGGACCUUCACCCAUUCUCCAGCUGUUUGCCCUGGCACACGGCUGCUCCAGCACUAGGUAGGACACCAGCGGAGGCGUCCUACCCCCUCAGCACAAAUCGAGG